rnacentral:rRNA from 2 species
AGUCGACCCCUAAGGCGAGGCCGAAAGGCGUAGUCGAUGGGAAACGGGUUAAUAUUCCCGUACUUGGUGUUACUGCGAAGGGGGGACGGAGAAGGCUAUGUUGGCCGGGCGACGGUUGUCCCGGUUUAAGCGUGUAGGUGUGUGUUCCAGGUAAAUCCGGUUCACUUUAACACUGAGGCGUGAUGACGAGGCACUACGGUGCUGAAGCAACAAAUGCCCUGCUUCCAGGAAAAGCCUCUAAGCAUCAGGUAACAUCAAAUCGUACCCCAAACCGACACAGGUGGUCAGGUAGAGAAUACCAAGGCGCUUGAGAGAACUCGGGUGAAGGAACUAGGCAAAAUGGUGCCGUAACUUCGGGAGAAGGCACGCUGACACGUAGGUGAAGUGAUUUACUCAUGGAGCUGAAGUCAGUCGAAGAUACCAGCUGGCUGCAACUGUUUAUUAAAAACACAGCACUGUGCAAACACGAAAGUGGACGUAUACGGUGUGACGCCUGCCCGGUGCCGGAAGGUUAAUUGAUGGGGUCAGCGCAAGCGAAGCUCCUGAUCGAAGCCCCGGUAAACGGCGGCCGUAACUAUAACGGUCCUAAGGUAGCGAAAUUCCUUGUCGGGUAAGUUCCGACCUGCACGAAUGGCGUAAUGAUGGCCAGGCUGUCUCCACCCGAGACUCAGUGAAAUUGAACUCGCUGUGAAGAUGCAGUGUACCCGCGGCAAGACGGAAAGACCCCGUGAACCUUUACUAUAGCUUGACACUGAACAUUGAGCCUUGAUGUGUAGGAUAGGUGGGAGGCUUUGAAGCGUGGACGCCAGUCUGCAUGGAGCCGGCCUUGAAAUACCACCCUUUAAUGUUUGAUGUUCUAACGUGGACCCGUGAUCCGGGUUGCGGACAGUGUCUGGUGGGUAGUUUGACUGGGGCGGUCUCCUCCUAAAGAGUAACGGAGGAGCACGAAGGUUGGCUAAUCCUGGUCGGACAUCAGGAGGUUAGUGCAAUGGCAUAAGCCAGCUUGACUGCGAGCGUGACGGCGCGAGCAGGUGCGAAAGCAGGUCAUAGUGAUCCGGUGGUUCUGAAUGGAAGGGCCAUCGCUCAACGGAUAAAAGGUACUCCGGGGAUAACAGGCUGAUACCGCCCAAGAGUUCAUAUCGACGGCGGUGUUUGGCACCUCGAUGUCGGCUCAUCACAUCCUGGGGCUGAAGUAGGUCCCAAGGGUAUGGCUGUUCGCCAUUUAAAGUGGUACGCGAGCUGGGUUUAGAACGUCGUGAGACAGUUCGGUCCCUAUCUGCCGUGGGCGCUGGAGAACUGAGGGGGGCUGCUCCUAGUACGAGAGGACCGGAGUGGACGCAUCACUGGUGUUCGGGUUGUCAUGCCAAUGGCACUGCCCGGUAGCUAAAUGCGGAAGAGAUAAGUGCUGAAAGCAUCUAAGCACGAAACUUGCCCCGAGAUGAGUUCUCCCUGAGACUUAGAGUCUCCUGAAGGAACGUUGAAGACGACGACGUUGAUAGGCCGGGUGUGUAAGCGCAGCGAUGCGUUGAGCUAACCGGUACUAAUGAACCGUGAGGCUUAACCUUACAACGCCGAAG